rnacentral:rRNA from 1 species
ACGUAAUAGAUACCCAGGUAGUCCACGCUGUAAACGAUGAAUGCUAGCUGUUGGGGUGCAUGCAUCUCAGUAGCGCAGCUAACGCAUUAAGCAUUCCGCCUGGGGAGUACGGUCGCAAGAUUAAAACUCAAAGGAAUUGACGGGGCCCGGCACAAGCGGUGGAGCAUGUGGUUUAACUCGAAGCAACGCGCAGAACCUUACCAUCCUUUGACAUGGCGUGUUACCUGGAGAGAUCCAGGGUCCCCGUUCCGGGGGUCGGCGCACACAGGUGCUGCAUGGCUGUCGUCAGCUCGUGUCGUGAGAUGUUGGGUUAAGUCCCGCAACGAGCGCAACCCACGUCCUCAGUUGCCAUCAUUCAGUUGGGCACUCUGGGGAGACUGCCGGUGAUAAGCCGCGAGGAAGGUGUGGAUGACGUCAAGUCCUCAUGGCCCUUACGGGAUGGGCUACACACGUGCUACAAUGGCGGUGACAGUGGGACGCGAGACCGCGAGGUUGAGCAAAUCCCCAAAAGGCC